GGGACUGAUGCAGCCAUGCCGCGUGUGUGAAGAAGGCCUUCGGGUUGUAAAGCACUUUCAGUUGUGAGGAAAGGUUGGUAGUUAAUACCUGCCAGCUGUGACGUUAACAACAGAAGAAGCACCGGCUAACUCCGUGCCAGCAGCCGCGGUAAUACGGAGGGUGCGAGCGUUAAUCGGAAUUACUGGGCGUAAAGCGCACGCAGGCGGUUUGUUAAGCUAGAUGUGAAAGCCCCGGGCUCAACCUGGGAUGGUCAUUUAGAACUGGCAGACUAGAGUCUUGGAGAGGGGAGUGGAAUUCCAGGUGUAGCGGUGAAAUGCGUAGAUAUCUGGAGGAACAUCAGUGGCGAAGGCGGCUCCCUGGCCAAAGACUGACGCUCAUGUGCGAAAGUGUGGGUAGCGAACAGGAUUAGAUACCCUGGUAGUCCACACCGUAAACGCUGUCUACUAGCUGUUUGUGAAUUUAAUUCGUGAGUAGCGAAGCUAACGCGCUAAGUAGACCGCCUGGGGAGUACGGCCGCAAGGUUAAAACUCAAAUG
rnacentral:rRNA from 1 species